GGUUGUGGCUCAGCGGCAGAGCGCUCACCUAGCAUGUGCCAGGUCUUGGGUUCAAUCCUCAGCACCA
rnacentral:tRNA from 1 species